GCAGUCGACGGUAACAGGAAGCAGCUUGCUGCUUCGCUGACGAGUGGCGGACGGGUGAGUAAUGUCUGGGAAACUGCCUGAUGGAGGGGGAUAACUACUGGAAACGGUAGCUAAUACCGCAUAACGUCGCAAGACCAAAGAGGGGGACCUUCGGGCCUCUUGCCAUCGGAUGUGCCCAGAUGGGAUUAGCUUGUUGGUGGGGUAACGGCUCACCUAGGCGACGAUCCCUAGCUGGUCUGAGAGGAUGACCAGCCACACUGGAACUGAGACACGGUCCAGACUCCUACGGGAGGCAGCAGUGGGGAAUAUUGCACAAUGGGCGCAAGCCUGAUGCAGCCAUGCCGCGUGUAUGAAGAAGGCCUUCGGGUUGUAAAGUACUUUCAGCGGGGAGGAAGGGAGUAAAGUUAAUACCUUUGCUCAUUGACGUUACCCGCAGAAGAAGCACCGGCUAACUCCGUGCCAGCAGCCGCGGUAAUACGGAGGGUGCAAGCGUUAAUCGGAAUUACUGGGCGUAAAGCGCACGCAGGCGGUUUGUUAAGUCAGAUGUGAAAUCCCCCGGGCUCAACCUGGGAACUGCAUCUGA
rnacentral:rRNA from 1 species